rnacentral:lncRNA from 1 species
CAAAGUCGAUGGGCUCUGCGCAGAGCCGAUUGGCUCUAUACAUGGGAAGUUUGACAAAAUUUGCAAUUAAGUCCUUGAACUUGCAAAAUCUAUCGUCUUGACCUUUAAACUUUAUUUUUCUUGACAAUUAACUCCAAAUUGAUUUUAUAAAGGUAAUUUUGGCUGGAUUAACCUCAAACUCUAACCUUAGGUUUGCUCGUCCAUCUCCC